GCUGCACACUUCAGGAUUAGACGUGGGUUAUUAAGAUAAUGAUAUAAAUGUAUAGUCUGCAGGUGCUGCACACUUCAGGAUUAGACGUGGGUUAUUAAGAUAAUGAUAUAAAUGUAUAGUCUGCAGGUGCUGCACACUUCAGGAUUAGACGUGGGUUAUUAAGAUAAUGAUAUAAAUGUAUAGUCUGCAGGUGCUGCACACUUCAGGAUUAGACGUGGGUUAUUAUGAUAAUGAUAUAAAUGUAUAGUCUGCAGGUGCUGCACACUUCAGGAUUAGACGUGG